UGGGGAAUUUUGGACAAUGGGCGAAAGCCUGAUCCAGCAAUGCCGCGUGUGUGAAGAAGGCCUUCGGGUUGUAAAGCACUUUUGUCCGGAAAGAAAUCCUUGGCUCUAAUACAGUCGGGGGAUGACGGUACCGGAAGAAUAAGCACCGGCUAACUACGUGCCAGCAGCCGCGGUAAUACGUAGGGUGCAAGCGUUAAUCGGAAUUACUGGGCGUAAAGCGUGCGCAGGCGGUUUGCUAAGACCGAUGUGAAAUCCCCGGGCUCAACCUGGGAACUGCAUUGGUGACUGGCAGGCUAGAGUAUGGCAGAGGGGGGUAGAAUUCCACGUGUAGCAGUGAAAUGCGUAGAGAUGUGGAGGAAUACCGAUGGCGAAGGCAGCCCCCUGGGCCAAUACUGACGCUCAUGCACGAAAGCGUGGGGAGCAAACAGGAUUAGAUACCCUGGUAGUCCACGCCCUAAACGAUGUCAACUAGUUGUUGGGGGAUUCAUUUCCUUAGUAACGUAGCUAACGCGUGAAGUUGACCGCCUGGGGAGUACGGUCGCAAGAUUAAAACUUAAA
rnacentral:rRNA from 1 species